GUACUGCUGACAAAUCCCAAACAGGAAGAAACGGCUGUCCAGUAC
rnacentral:hammerhead_ribozyme from 1 species